AUUGAACGCUGGCGGCAGGCCUAACACAUGCAAGUCGAGCGGAUGAAGGGAGCUUGCUCCUGGAUUCAGCGGCGGACGGGUGAGUAAUGCCUAGGAAUCUGCCUGGUAGUGGGGGAUAACGUCCGGAAACGGGCGCUAAUACCGCAUACGUCCUGAGGUAGAAAGUGGGGGAUCUUCGGACCUCACGCUAUCAGAUGAGCCUAGGUCGGAUUAGCUAGUUGGUAGGGUAAAGGCCUACCAAGGCGACGAUCCGUAACUGGUCUGAGAGGAUGAUCAGUCACACUGGAACUGAGACACGGUCCAGACUCCUACGGGAGGCAGCAGUGGGGAAUAUUGGACAAUGGGCGAAAGCCUGAUCCAGCCAUGCCGCGUGUGUGAAGAAGGUCUUCGGAUUGUAAAGCACUUUAAGUAGGGAGGAAGGGCAGUAAGUUAAUACCUUGCUGUUUUGACGUUACCAACAGAAUAAGCACCGGCUAACUUCGUG
rnacentral:rRNA from 1 species